AGGGGAGUCAACUGAACGUGUGUUCCCCCGGACUCAGGAAGGAGAAUAUGCAGGUGUCAACUCCUGCCUCGACCU
rnacentral:tRNA from 1 species